rnacentral:rRNA from 1 species
CUACGUAGGGUGCAAGCGUUAAUCGGAAUUACUGGGCGUAAAGCGUGCGCAGGCGGUUUUGUAAGACAGUGGUGAAAUCCCCGGGCUCAACCUGGGAACUGCCAUUGUGACUGCAAGGCUGGAGUGCGGCAGAGGGGGAUGGAAUUCCGCGUGUAGCAGUGAAAUGCGUAGAUAUGCGGAGGAACACCGAUGGCAAAGGCAUUCCACUGGGCCUGUACUGACGCUCAUGCACGAAAGCGUGGGGAGCAAACAGGAUUAGAUACCCUGUUCGUCCACGCCCUAAAUGAUGUCAACGCGUUGUUGGGGAUUUAGUUUCUCAGUAACGAAGCUAACGCGUGAAGUUGACCGCCUGGGGAGUACGGCCGCAAGGUUAAAACUCAAAGGAAUUGACGGGG